CCCUUAGAUGUCCUGGGCUGCACGCGCGCUACACUGAUGUGUCCAGUAAGCACCUAACCUCUUCCGAAAGGAACGGGUAACCUUUGCAAAGCACAUCGUGAUGGGGAUAGAUUAUUGCAAUUAUUAGUCUUGAACGAGGAAUUCCUAGUAAGCACAAGUCAUCAGCUUGUGUUGAUUACGUCCCUGCCCUUUGUACACACCGCCCGUCGCUCCUACCGAUUGAAUGUUCCGGUGAGCUCUUCGGACUGCGCGGUCUGCAGUUUCUGCGUUCCGUGCGGAAAGUUGCGCAAGCCUUAACAUUUAGAGGAAGGAGAAGUCGUAACA
rnacentral:rRNA from 1 species